GGAUGUGAAAGCGAUCUGGCUGCGAUAUCUGUCACCCCAAUGAUCGUCAGGGUUGAUUGGGCUGAUCUGGCUGGCUAGGCAGGUGUCUCCUUCCUCCCUCAAUGCUCCAUGUGCAUCCCUCCCAAAGCUGCAUACUCAGUCAAAGCGGAUGGCCUCCUGGAAUAGAGACGAACUGGUCUUUAGUGGAGGGUAUAGGAGUAGCUGCGUUCCCCUGUUAGAAUCUCCAAACAAGCUUUCAAGAAUAGGGAAGCUGUCAAGGGAGGGGAUGGGAUACAGAGUUCUGGUGGUGGGAAUUGUGUGGAGUUGUACUCCUCUUAUC
ensembl:misc_RNA 7SK 7SK RNA